rnacentral:rRNA from 1 species
UGCGAAGGGGGCUAGCGUUGUUCGGAAUCACUGGGCGUAAAGGGCGCGUAGGCGGCUUUAUAAGUCGGGGGUGAAAGCCUGUGGCUCAACCACAGAAUUGCCUUCGAUACUGUAUGGCUUGAGACCGGAAGAGGUAAGUGGAACUGCGAGUGUAGAGGUGAAAUUCGUAGAUAUUCGCAAGAACACCAGUGGCGAAGGCGGCUUACUGGUCCGGUUCUGACGCUGAGGCGCGAAAGCGUGGGGAGCAAACAGG